rnacentral:lncRNA from 1 species
UAGCACAUCACGAGGCGGACGCUGAGGCCGAGAACAACCGCACAAGAUAACCCGGGACCGGAGAAGGGGAUCGCUCUGGCGAAUGGCCCAAUCCGUUCCUCGGUAAAUCCGCUAGCAAAAUCAUCAUCCUGCCUAAAUUCCCCGUGCUUCCGAUCGAAUCGCCCCGGUUGCCGCAGGAAACCCAAUCUGGUUUCCCUCUUUCCCUGAACCAAAGAAAUCCCCCGAUCGCUGUUCCGCGGCUGCUUUUCCGGUCAGUUUCUUGAUCUGGUUCGUGGGCUGAUUGCCUGUCGCCCUGGAUUUCUGCGGCACCCUUUCUCCUUUGUGUGUAUGGAUUUUUGGUCCGUAUGGUGGGGGAUCUUGGAUGCGUUCAUGUGUGAUUCUAGUUCUUGUGCUCUGGUCAUCGAUGUGGUGAUCGCUUUCAGAUCGUUCCUAGUGUUAUCGGUCUGAGGCAAUCUAGAUGCCUUCUGUCGCCCAUAGAUUUAGCUGCAAGAUUAUUUUUUAACACUGUUGAUGUGCAAUGGACAGUUUUUAUUUGCUGAUUUUGCUGCAUUGCAUCAUAUAUUACAUAAUUUGUAGUUCAUUGUUGUUUCUGAUGUGUAGAAGCUCUGUAAAUGGACAAUGCCAUACUGUUUCUGCAGAGAUAAAUGGUCAUAGGACUCAAUUCAGCAAUGUGGUGACAGCCUUUGAUUUGUUUAUGCAGGACUGCUUUCUGAACUGUUGGCAUGGUUCAUCCUAGGUUCCUUGUUGCUUGUUCAGGCUCUAAAUUGUGCUUCAUCUCCAAUUGUUGCAGUAACUUCAAGAGCAUGAUUGGCGGUUCGACGAUGGAAUCUUUACUGCUGAUGGAUUUGAAUCAGAAACCUCAAUGCAGUUGAAGCCUCCGUGCAGAGUCAGAGUUAGUUGUUACUAGAACAAUUGCAACAGUUUUGGAGAUUGAAAGUAAUAGCUGAAGGGGUCAUUGGAAGAUCCAAAUUAGCGCAUUUUAGGAGAAACUUCAAGUUUGUUCUCCUUUUGUUGA